GGCUCAGAUUGAACGCUGGCGGCAUGCCUUACACAUGCAAGUCGAACGGCAGCGCGGGAGCAAUCCUGGCGGCGAGUGGCGAACGGGUGAGUAAUACAUCGGAACGUGCCCAAUCGUGGGGGAUAACGCAGCGAAAGCUGUGCUAAUACCGCAUACGAUCUACGGAUGAAAGCAGGGGAUCGCAAGACCUUGCGCGAAUGGAGCGGCCGAUGGCAGAUUAGGUAGUUGGUGAGGUAAAGGCUCACCAAGCCUUCGAUCUGUAGCUGGUCUGAGAGGACGACCAGCCACACUGGGACUGAGACACGGCCCAGACUCCUACGGGAGGCAGCAGUGGGGAAUUUUGGACAAUGGGCGAAAGCCUGAUCCAGCCAUGCCGCGUGCAGGAUGAAGGCCUUCGGGU
rnacentral:rRNA from 1 species